rnacentral:rRNA from 1 species
UACGUAGGGUGCAAGCGUUAAUCGGAAUUACUGGGCGUAAAGCGUGCGCAGGCGGCUAUGCAAGACAGAUGUGAAAAUCCCCGGGCUCAACCUGGGAACUGCAUUUGUGACUGCAUAGCUAGAGUACGGUAGAGGGGGAUGGAAUUCCGCGUGUAGCAGUGAAAUGCGUAGAUAUGCGGAGGAACACCGAUGGCGAAGGCAAUCCCCUGGACCUGUACUGACGCUGAGACACGAAAGCGUGGGUAGCAAACAGG